GCUGCUGCUGAGUAAGCUUUUAUGUUCCAUGCUGAGUAGCAUUCAUUCUUUGGUCAACAGCAAGACUUGUGGAAAGCUUCAUCUCCAGUGUUUGUAUCACUACACUGUUUAGUUUGUAGGGUGAAAACCAAAGCUUUCUCCUACUUUAUUUUGGCUACUUUGACACUGUGUGUGGCUGCUGGCCAUGCAUUAAUAGUACAUAAGAAAGCUGCAGAUCAAAGAACUACCUGACCCAGAGGCCACAGAGUAACAGAGAAAGAGACAGAAAAACUAGUGUGAUGUUCCCUUGAUAUAACCAACCACCCUGCAGCCUGGGGACCUCCUGAAUCAGAGACUGUAUCCACAGCUCUGUGCUGAACAGUCCUCAAGAGACCUAUCAUCCUCUCCAAAUGCAUCUAAUUGCUUUCUGAAUCCAGUUAUAUUUUCCUCCUUGGCAUGUUCAAAAGCUUCAUUUGUUACAGGCUAAUGAGCUUAAUAAGCUGAAGCUGUGUUUUUAUUGAAAGGUUAAUGAUUGCAAACAUUUAAAUAGUUAAAUCAACUCCUUAACUGAGUAUGGAGUUACAGAGGAAGGUAACAAACAAACCUAACCCUUCCAGGAAGACUGCUGAGGAAUUUUUGGGAAUGUUGGUUUUGUGCAGUGCCCAAGUGACCAAAGGAAUGAAAUGAAGACAAAUGGCAGUAAAAUAAUUCCAGAGGGUGCUACAAGCUUGGCCGUGCCUGAAAUGUACCCUGCAAACUCAGACUGCCUCCAGUACCCAGGGAUUAUUGCUCUUGAUUGUCUACUUUGUUUACCCUUGGCUACACAGUGAUUCAGCUUCAGAAGGAAGGAGAACAAAGCUGCACCCUUCACUCUGCCUUCAACGUCUGUCAAACAAGCCCCAGUUAGGAAAAAUGUGAGUCCAAAUCCAGAGAAACCCCUUCAGACAUCUUAAGAAGUCCAGAUGGAUUAUGCUGCUGGGAUCCUGCCCAGAAUCCCUUCCCAGAGCAGGGCUUGCUUUCAAGCUAUUGAAAAAACACCAUGGAGCUUUACUCCAGACCAAAGCAGCUGCCCAGUGGCAAGGUGGACACAAUCCAGCCCUGUCCAUGAAGGAAUCACUCUGUGCAUCUCCCCCGAAGAACUGAACUGCUGCCUCCAGCCUGAAGUCAUGGCCAAACUGAGAUCAGCAGAAGACACUGCUCUCAGUUCCUUGAUAUCACACAACACAAGAAUUUGGCAGAAGUUUUAAAGGAAAUUACCUUUGUGAGUAUCUUGUAGGGGCUGCAUAGUUAUGAACCUCAGGUAUCCUAGGAAAGAUUAAUGUAUCAAUAGGCAUGGAAUUUCUUUAGUAUCGCCUCACUGUCUCUGCGACCAGUUCAAGGGAUGAGAUUCACAAAGCAGAUAUCUCCAAGCCAUUGCUGAGACUCACUGGAGAGAAAAAAAAACACUUUGAGAUUCAUCCAAGCCAUAGCUACAGCAAAGAACCAAAAUAAGUUUUCUGUCAUCCCGCCUCACAGCUGAAGAGAAAAGUGGAAGAUUGAAAUAAGCAUCUUGACCACAGGUGAUUGUCAGCAGUCACAGAAGCUCCACAACUAACAGGAGAGCUCGGAGCUGCCUGGGGAGAUUUCUGUAGAGUCUUCAAGGCAAACUAAACCUGACCCUCCAGUGGCAGCCUCCUGCCUGAACCCUGACCUCACCUUCAAAGCACAGGGCAGAUCUGAGCUGCCAGCUGAUGUGGGAAACUCUCCUGGGCUUUAAUUGUGGUGCAUAUUUUGCAGUUCACCAAAGACACAGAAAUUAAUGAACUUUAAUGGAAAACCACAUCAGUGAAAAUCUGCUGGAAGUCACCCCCAGAAGAAAGGAUUCCUGCUUGCCAAGAUGAUAAACACUUUUGGGAUGAUGAGGAUGUUUGCAAAUCGGAGACCGUGGUGGCUGCUCUGUGGGGGCUGCAGUUGUGAGUGGCCUUUCCAUUUUGGGGAUCAGUGUGCUAAAUUAAAAACCUACAAGAAACCCUUUAAUUUAGGUUAAUGGGAUGUCAAAUAUUAACUGGAUUAAGGCAAUUUUUUUUAAAGAGGAAUUAGCCUCAUUAGUCUCCCAGGGCAGAUUCUUAGAAGGUGUAAAUCAGUGUUAUACAUCAAAGCUCAAGGGAGACUGUACAGUUGUUCACUAAAUGGAGUCUGUGCUCUUGUACUUUUUCAUACACAUAUCUAUGAACCAUGUACUUAGAUUAAAUUUGAUCUGUCUUCCCCCUCCCACCAUUUUGAGGAUUAAAAAUUAAAUUAUAUGGCUCCUUACUUACCCACUUCCUUUCCAGUCCAUUAACUUCAUCCUUCUUGUUUUCAGGUCCUACAAAGUGAUGGAAAACUUCCUUUAUGCAUAGGGAAUUUGGGGAAUGAUACCAUGAUAUCUGGGAGAAGGGAUGCUGGGAGAGUAUUAUUUGCAAUCACAACUUUCAGAGCUAUGCUUUAAUACAAAAUGAGGAGGAAAAUAUCUUUCAGCAGAGCUGUUUGAGAGUUCACAUUUGAAAUAUUUGGUGGAUGGUUAGUUUCCACAGCAUGAAAAAUUAUGCAAUGGGAAAAUGUUCCUACUGCUUAAAAUCAAAAUCAUAUUUUUUUCAUCACAGAAAUACUUUGUUCCAUCUCAGAAAGCAAAAAGCACUGCCCUUAUGCUCAGAGGAGGCACAUUUUAAAUUUUAAAUUUUGGGGAAGGGAAAGUCUUCUCUGCAAUAAAAGAGAGUAAAUGUUUAAAAUGAUCUUUAAAUCACUGCCCCUUCACACCAUACCACCAGGCAGGCUUGUUAGCUCAAUGCUGCAGAGUUUCAAAGCCUGCUAUUUUGCAUCCAAGACACAGCAAUAUGGUAACUAUUGUCUUGCUUUGGGCUGAAUAUUUUUCUUAUUGAAGGAAUAUGAUGUCUUUAGGGUCUUUUUGCUGAAGGUAUUUCCACAUCCCAAAAAUUACCAUCAUACACAGACAUUGAUUCUCCUCAUGGGUACCCUCAACAGAGAGGGCAAAGACUGAAAGGGCCAAGGUGACUGAAAAAGCCUGAAAAUUAAAGAUAGUAGGAACUCUUGGUUUUAAAUGAAGGU